UGUCUCCUCCAACUCUCCUCAGAAAAGAAUUGGAUUUCAGCCCGCUCCUUGAGCGGGCUUUUUUUU
rnacentral:ncRNA from 1 species